GACGAACGCUGGCGGCGUGCUUAACACAUGCAAGUCGAACGGAAAGGCCCUGCUCUUGUGGGGUGCUCGAGUGGCGAACGGGUGAGUAACACGUGAGUAUCCUGCCCUUGACUUUGGGAUAACUUCAGGAAACUGGGGCUAAUACCGGAUAGGAGCUCCUGCUGCAUGGUGGUGGUUGGAGAGUUUCGGCGGUUGGGGCUGGUCUCGCGGCUUAUCCGCUAGUUAGUGGGGUAGUUGCUUACCAAGGCUUUGACGGAUAGCCCGCCUUAGAGGGGGGCCAGCCACAUGAGGACUGCGAGACGCACCAGACGCCAACGUGAGGCAGCAGUGGGAAAUAUUGCGCAAUGGCCGGAAGCCAGAGGCAACGACGCCGGGUGCGGGAUGACGGCCUACGGGUGAUAAACAGCUUUGGACGGAACCAAAGCGUUAGUGACGGUAAUGAGUAAAGAAGCACCGGCUAACUACGUG
rnacentral:rRNA from 1 species